rnacentral:tRNA from 1 species
GCUCGUGUAGAUUAUUUAUUUAAAUUAUAAUGCUGUUAACUUUAAGAAGGCUUUGUCCCUCGGGCG